GCCAGUGUGGUGUAGUGGUUUUCAGAUUAGACUAUAACUCUGGAGACUAGAGUUCAAAUCAUCACUCAAUCA